UGGCUCAGAUUGAACGCUGGCGGCGUGCUUAACACAUGCAAGUCGUACGCGAAAGGGACUUCGGUCCCGAGUAAAGUGGCGCACGGGUGAGUAACACGUGGAUGAUCUGCCUCUAUGAUGGGGAUAACAGUUGGAAACGACUGCUAAUACCGAAUACGCUCAUGAUGAACGUUGUGAGGAAAGGUGGCCUCUGCUUGCAAGCUAUCGCAUAGAGAUGAGUCCGCGUCCCAUUAGCUCGUUGGUGGGGUAACGGCCUACCAAGGCAACGAUGGGUAGCCGAUCUGAGAGGAUGAUCGGCCACACUGGAACUGAAACACGGUCCAGACUCCUACGGGAGGCAGCAGUGGGGAAUAUUGCGCAAUGGGCGAAAGCCUGACGCAGCGACGCCGCGUGAGGGAUGAAGGUCUUCGGAUCGUAAACCUCUGUCAGAAGGGAAGAAACUGGGGUGUUCUAAUCAGCAUCCCACUGACGGUACCUUCAAAGGAAGCACCGGCUAACUCCGUGCCAGCAGCCGCGGUAAUACGGAGGGUGCAAGCGUUAAUCGGAAUCACUGGGCGUAAAGCGCACGUAGGCUGUUAUGUAAGUCAGGGGUGAAAGCCCACGGCUCAACCGUGGAACUGCCCUUGAUACUGCACGACUCGAAUCCGGGAGAGGGUGGCGGAAUUCCAGGUGUAGGAGUGAAAUCCGUAGAUAUCUGGAGGAACAUCAGUGGCGAAGGCGGCCACCUGGACCGGUAUGACGC
rnacentral:rRNA from 1 species